rnacentral:lncRNA from 1 species
UGAUGGUAUAUGCCUUCUCUCAAGAUAUGUGGUAUUUGUGGUAUGAAGCAUAGUGACAUUAUCUUAUCUCUCACCCUACUUCUAAUAAGGCUUUAAUAUCUGGAGCUCAUAGGUGGGAGAUAAAGUAUACAUACUCACAAGACAUUUAUCGUAUAUUCAAACCAUGGAUCCAAAGAAACAAAUCAAUAAGCCAAAUCAAGAUGUGCAUGUGUUGCGAAUGAAUGGUAUAUGGUGAUGAUGGUGAUAACAAUGGUGGAAACAAUGGUGGUGGAAGUCUAAUUCUACUUUGCUCUUUUGAGGGGAUAAUACCUUCCUUGCUUUUUGAAACUUUAUGAGGAGAAUGAGAUGCUCUUCUUUUUCUUUCCUCUCAGGUGGGUAUCUUGUACCUCUAAUUCUACUGUCGGACACUUGUCCAUUUUUACCUCUCGUCUCACUUUUUUUCUUUUCUUUCGAGGUUCCGAGCACUUGCUCCUUUUUAUUUCCUCGUAUUUUUUUAGAGCACUCAUCUCUUGAGAUAAUAUAGCAAGUGGUAGUAACAAGAUAACUUGAGCAUUUAUUUCACAAGGGAAAACAGAAAUAUUUUUGGUUAUUCUCUCCCGGAUUAGGAGUAGAAUAUUUUUGUGUGAUUCUGGAGAUGGAAUGGGUGGAUAUAUGUGGAUGGUACUUCCGGAGUAGAAGUAGCAUAUAUGAGUGAACGUGCAAGUGAAAUCUUGAUUUAGCCAUAUGACAAGCUCCUAAGGGUCUACACAGCUUGACCACACUCAACGCUCAUAAGCAGUAAAUAGUAAAUGUGUGGCUCAAAGUCUAGCAAGCAUGUAUAUAUGGCUGUGGUAGGAAUUUAAACUUUCAUCAUACAGGAACUCAUCAUGCAACAUUUUAAAGAUUUUCAAAGACAAA